rnacentral:rRNA from 1 species
GACGAACGCUGGCGGCGCGCUUAACACAUGCAAGUCGAGCGAGAACCAGUCCUUCGGGACUGGGGACAGCGGCGAACGGGUGAGUAACACGUGGGUAAUCUGCCCUCGGCACCGGAAUAGCCCGGGGAAACCCGGAUUAAUGCCGGAUGGCCUCUCUGCCCCUCGGGGCGGCGAGAAAAGGUAGCUUCGGCCUCCGGCCGAGGAUGAGCCCGCGGCCGAUUAGCUUGUUGGUGGGGUCACGGCUCACCAAGGCGACGAUCGGUAGCUGGUCUGAGAGGACGAUCAGCCACACUGGGACUGAGACACGGCCCAGACUCCUACGGGAGGCAGCAGUGGGGAAUCUUGCGCAAUGGGCGAAAGCCUGACGCAGCGACGCCGCGUGCGGGAAGAAGGCCUUCGGGUUGUAAACCGCUUUCAGGAGGGACGAAGCCACUCGGGCUAAUAGCCUAGAGGGUGACGGUACCUCCAGAAGAAGCCCCGGCUAACUACGUGCCAGCAGCCGCAGUAAGAC